rnacentral:rRNA from 1 species
AUGCAAGUCUUUUGCCAUUUUAAUCAACCUGGCAGCCGCAUGUUAUGGACAUGGGAUGAUUAUCGGCGCUGGUUAAUUAGAUGGUCGACUGUUCAGUCGUUGCCUAGGCUUCGGCCACUAAUCCUCCCUUAUGUAAUUAUGAAGGGCUUUAGUCUUGCCAGUGAGCCUACUACUCCUAGAAGUUUGGUUGUUUUUGUCAAUGUGCUAAAAAAGGAUGUUUUGUUAAUUGAGUUUACAUCAAAUAUUUCAAUAGUGAUGUGCUAUAUUUUUAUCUUAUAUAUGUCAGGUUCAUAUUAUAUUAGUGCGUGA